rnacentral:misc_RNA from 1 species
AAGUCGUAACAAGGUUUCCGUAGGUGAACCUGCGGAAGGAUCAUUACAGAGAAAAUGCCCUUUGGGGUAUAUCUCCCACCCUUUGUUUACAAUACUUUGUUGCUUUGGCAGGCCCGUCUUAAGGCCACUGGCAAAUUUGCUGGUCAGCGCCUGCCAGAGGACCACAAAACUCUUUUGUAACCUAUUGUCUGAUUAUUUGUAAAAUUAUUAAAACUUUCAACAACGGAUCUCUUGGUUCUG